GAUGAACGCUGGCGGCGUGCCUAAUACAUGCCAGUCGAGCGAACAGACGAGGAGCUUGCUCCUCUGACGUUAGCGGCGGACGGGUGAGUAACACGUGGAUAACCUACCUAUAAGACUGGGAUAACUUCGGGAAACCGGAGCUAAUACCGGAUAAUAUAUUUAACCGCAUGGUUCAAUAGUGAAAGACGGUUUUGCUGUCACUUAUAGAUGUAUCCGCGCCGCAUUAGCUAGUUGGUAAGGUAACGGCUUACCAAGGCAACGAUGCGUAGCCGACCUGAGAGGGUGAUCGGCCACACUGGAACUGAGACACGGUCCAGACUCCUACGGGAGGCAGCAGUAGGGAAUCUUCCGCAAUGGGCGAAAGCCUGACGGAGCAACGCCGCGUGAGUGAUGAAGGUCUUCGGAUCGUAAAACUCUGUUAUUAGGGAAGAACAAAUGUGUAAGUAACUAUGCACGUCUUGACGGUACCUAAUCAGAAAGCCACGGCUAACUACGUG
rnacentral:rRNA from 1 species